rnacentral:rRNA from 1 species
AUUGAACGCUGGCGGCAGGCCUAACACAUGCAAGUCGAGCGGUAGCACAGAGAGCUUGCUCUCGGGUGACGAGCGGCGGACGGGUGAGUAAUGUCUGGGAAACUGCCUGAUGGAGGGGGAUAACUACUGGAAACGGUAGCUAAUACCGCAUAACGUCGCAAGACCAAAGUGGGGGACCUUCGGGCCUCAUGCCAUCAGAUGUGCCCAGAUGGGAUUAGCUAGUAGGUGGGGUAAUGGCUCACCUAGGCGACGAUCCCUAGCUGGUCUGAGAGGAUGACCAGCCACACUGGAACUGAGACACGGUCCAGACUCCUACGGGAGGCAGCAGUGGGGAAUAUUGCACAAUGGGCGCAAGCCUGAUGCAGCCAUGCCGCGUGUAUGAAGAAGGCCUUCGGGUUGUAAAGUACUUUCAGCGAGGAGGAAGGCGUUAAGGUUAAUAACCUUAGCGAUUGACGUUACUCGCAGAAGAAGCACCGGCUAACUCCGUGCCAGCAGCCGCGGUAAUACGGAGGGUGCAAGCGUUAAUCGGAAUUACUGGGCGUAAAGCGCACGCAGGCGGUUUGUUAAGUCAGAUGUGAAAUCCCCGGGCUCAACCUGGGAACUGCAUUUGAAACUGGCAAGCUUGAGUCUUGUAGAGGGGGGUAGAAUUCCAGGUGUAGCGGUGAAAUGCGUAGAGAUCUGGAGGAAUACCGGUGGCGAAGGCGGCCCCCUGGACAAAGACUGACGCUCAGG